UGUAUUUCUGGCAUCGAACCUGUAGCUUAACACUGUAUGAAAAUGUAUAUAUCUCGAAUUGUCGAUCAUGUCUAAGUAUAGACCCGGCGCGGCGUUAGAUUACAUAACACAAUCAACUUAACAUAUGUGACGAAGUUAACACCACUGCAGCUCAUGAUUUGGUCCUGUCUGGAUAUUAAAUAUCACCAUCAUCGUGCUAAGGCAAAAACUUUUAGAUCAAAAAGCUACAUACUCCGUAAUAGCUUCGUCCAGCUUUUGAGUAUUGCUCGUACAUUUGGAGCUCAGCUCUCAAGCAUACUCUUGGGAUUCUCGACUCAAUACAGAAGAGAGCAAUUCAGCUUAUAGGCUACCCAGAGUUGACCAGAAACUUGGACAGCUUUGAGCGUGGAAGUAUUUGCAAGAUACAAUCGACCAGGCAGACGAUUUGGUCUGUAGAUGCCCACAACGUGAAUUUAUCGGGAAGGACUCACUUCUUUGGAGAAGUGGAAGUCUGUGGAAACAGCUACCAAAGAAACGUCUUUCCCGAACAAUUAUUUUUAAUAUUGGAAUGAAUUUUUGAACCAUCAUUAAAUUUUCAAUUCUUUUUCGGAUUGUUAAACAUAAGUAUGUGAUAUAUUAUUAUUAUUAAUAAAAUUUUUUAAUAAAA